rnacentral:rRNA from 1 species
AAUCAACGCUGGCGGCGUGCCUUAGACAUGCAAGUCGAACGCGAAAGUCCCCUUCGGGGGACAAGUAGAGUGGCGCACGGGUGAGUAACACGUAGGUAAUCUACCUUUGGAUGGGGAAUAACAACCGGAAACGGUUGCUAAUACCGCAUAAUGCAGCGGCACCUAAUGGUGACAGUUGUUAAAGCGGGGGAUCGAAAGACCUCGCGUCUAAAGAGGAGCCUGCGGCGGAUUAGCUAGUUGGUAAGGUAANGGCUUACCAAGGCUACGAUCCGUAACCGGCCUGAGAGGGGCGGUCGGUCACACUGACACUGACAUAC